rnacentral:rRNA from 1 species
UACGAAGGGGGCUAGCGUUGCUCGGAAUCACUGGGCGUAAAGGGUGCGUAGGCGGGCAGGUAAGUCCGUGGUGAAAUCUCUGAGCUUAACUCAGAAACUGCCAUGGAUACUAUUUGUCUUGAAUAUUGUGGAGGUAAGCGGAAUAUGUCAUGUAGCGGUGAAAUGCUUAGAUAUGACAUAGAACACCAAUUGCGAAGGCAGCUUACUACACAGUUAUUGACGCUGAGGCACGAAAGCGUGGGGAUCAAACAGGA